rnacentral:rRNA from 1 species
UACGUAGGGUGCAAGCGUUAAUCGGAAUUACUGGGCGUAAAGCGUGCGCAGGCGGUUCUAUAAGACAGAUGUGAAAUCCCCGGGCUUAACCUGGGAAUUGCAUUUGUGACUGCACGGCUAGAGUGUGUCAGAGGGGGGUAGAAUUCCACGUGUAGCAGUGAAAUGCGUAGAUAUGUGGAGGAAUACCGAUGGCGAAGGCAGCCCCCUGGGAUAACACUGACGCUCAUGCACGAAAGCGUGGGGAGCAAACAGG